ensembl:lncRNA
GUGUGUUCGUGCUCCAGCCAAUCAGAACAGUAGACUGUAGACUGGAAGUGAGCACAGACUCAGCAGGGAAAAAUGGCACAGCAGCUCUGUCUCACAGACAAAUACUUUUACAGAGCGCCAGCACACACACACACACACACACACACACACACACACACACACACACACACACACACACACACACACACACACACACACACACACAUACACACACAUGCACAUACACUCUGACUGUGUAGUGAUGAUGCAGUGUGUGAGAGAGGAAGAGUGUGUUCUCCGCCACUGAAGAGCAGGAGUCUCUCGGACAACUGUUCCCGCUCUUCGCCGGUCCACGACCUCCAGCUCCACGGCCAGGUGACUCUCAGUGAUGGAAGAUGCUCCACCCUUCUGACAGGAAGUGAAACCCCUGUCUCACCUGCAUCUCCGCACAUUGAGCGUGAUGGACAGCCCUCUGUUGCUAGGUGACUGUUUGCUGCCCCCUGUCAGGAGGAGGGGGGCACUGGUGGACCACCGUGAUGUCAUCAAAGCACACCAAUCACACAAGCUACACAGCACACCACAGGCCAAACGCAGGGAGUGGGAGUGAGUAUGUUACUUCUCACCCCUUACUCCUUACUCCUCACCCCUUACUCCUUACUCCUCACCCCUUCUCCUCACCCCUUCUCCUCACCCCUCAUCUCUCACUCCUCACUGCUCAUCUCUCACGCCUCACUCCUCAUCUCUCACUCCUCACUCCCCAUCUCUCACUCCUCAUCUCUCACUCCUCAUCUCUCACUCCUCACUCCUUACUCCUCACUCCUCAUUCUCACUCCUUACUCCUCACUCCUUACUCUUCACUCCUCAUCUUUCAGUCCUUACUCCUCACACUCACUCCUCACUCCUUACUCUUCACUCCUCAUCUCUCAGUCCUCACUCCUUACUCCUCAUUUCUUACUCCUCACCCUCAUCUCUCACUCCUCAUUCCUCACUCUAAACUCCUCAUCUCUCACUCCUCACUCCUCAUUUCUUACUCCUCAUCUCUCACUCCUCAUUCCUUACUCAUCUCUCACUCCUCAUUCCUCACUCCUCACUCCUCAUUUCUUACUCCUCACUCCUCAUUUCUUACUCCUCAUCUCUCACUCCUCACUCCUUAUCUCUCACUCCUCAUUUCCUACUCCUCACUCAUC